UCCUCGGUAGCUCAGCGGUAGAGUAGGUGGCUGUUAACCACUUGGUCGCAGGUUCGAAUCCUGCCCGAGGAG
rnacentral:tRNA from 1 species